rnacentral:rRNA from 1 species
GAUGAACGCUGGCGGCGUGCCUAAUACAUGCAAGUCGAGCGAACAGACGAGGAGCUUGCUCCUCUGACGUUAGCGGCGGACGGGUGAGUAACACGUGGAUAACCUACCUAUAAGACUGGGAUAACUUCGGGAAACCGGAGCUAAUACCGGAUAAUAUAUUGAACCGCAUGGUACAAUAGUGAAAGACGGUUUUGCUGUCACUUAUAGAUGGAUCCGCGCCGCAUUAGCUAGUUGGUAAGGUAACGGCUUACCAAGGCAACGAUGCGUAGCCGACCUGAGAGGGUGAUCGGCCACACUGGAACUGAGACACGGUCCAGACUCCUACGGGAGGCAGCAGUAGGGAAUCUUCCGCAAUGGGCGAAAGCUUGACGGAGCAACGCCGCGUGAGUGAUGAAGGUCUUCGGAUCGUAAAACUCUGUUAUUAGGGAAGAACAAAUGUGUAAGUAACUAUGCACGUCUUGACGGUACCUAAUCAGAAAGCCACGGCUAACUACGUG